rnacentral:rRNA from 1 species
AACGAACGCUGGCGGCAUGCCUAACACAUGCAAGUCGAACGAGACCUUCGGGUCUAGUGGCGCACGGGUGCGUAACGCGUGGGAACCUGCCCUUAGGUUCGGAAUAACUCCCCGACAGGGGUGCUAAUACCGGAUAAUGUCUUCGGACACAAGAUUUAUCGCCUUUGGAUGGGCCCGCGUUGGUUUAGCUGGUUGGUAGGGUAAAAGCCUACCAAGGCGACGAUCCAUAGCUGGUCUGAGAGGAUGAUCAGCCACACUGGGACUGAGACACGGCCCAGACUCCUACGGGAGGCAGCAGUGGGUAAUAUUGGACUAUGGGCGAAAGCCUGAUCCAGCAAUGCCGCGUGAGUGAUGAAGGCCUUAGGGUUGUAAAGCUCUUUUACCCGGGAUGAUAAUGACAGUACCGGGAGAAUAAGCACCGGCUAACUCCGUG